rnacentral:lncRNA from 1 species
UUGUUCUACAUGUGUUUUAUUAGAGUGAUCCUUAGGAAAAAAGACAUUGCUCUCUUUUCUUUCUUUUCUAAUUGUAGUUGUAAGGUCUUGUUGGGAUGGCUGAGUAAUCCAGUGUAAAUAACCAUGCUGCAAUAUUAAAAACAUUUUUCUGCAAACAUAAAACUAUAAACCACUAAUUAUUUUUUUAUCAUGCUAUUUCAGAGUUUCUGAUUCUGUUGCAGCCUUAGCUACAGCAGAUUCAUUAGUUACUGUGCUGUCCAGUAUAGUCCCUCUGUGUCUGGAACUGGCUUUAUUCCUUUAUAAGAGCCCAGGAGUCUCCAUCAGGAGCCAUCACAGCUGUGUAGGUAAUCAACAGUCCUUCCCUCUGCUGCUUGAGUGACUCCUCAUCUCACAUCCAGAUGUACACUCAGUUUUCUGUCUGAUGUGGUGAUAGAAGGUGUGCAUAAGAAGAGGAGAGGCACAGAAUCCUUCUGAGUUGGUGCAGUAUCGACCACCGAGCAGAAUGGAAGUCAGAGAGAAAUUCCAAAGUGUUUGGAAAAAUCAUUAUAAUGUAUUGUCUGUAUCACUUUAUUCCUUAAUUAUGGUUGUGGUAGAGGAAAUAAUGGAGCUGGAAUUUAAAUGUCCUCAGGAAAAGUCAUUAAGGGUAUGGUAUGUUGCUUCUUACUUUUCCUGUCCAGCCUUCAUUACAUUUGUCCUGAGCUUGACCUCCCACCCCGCCUGCAUUCCCUGGGCUCGCUGUGUUGGGAAGUGCUCGUGCUACCGCAAGACUCAGAUCAUUUUUAGGGCAUUUUUACCUCCUGUGAUUUGGUGUGUGAUCCUCCUGUGCGAUGGCAGAUACAUCGACUGUGUGGUUUCAGAAAAUGAAGGAAACAACAUCCAAGGCAGAGCAGCUGAAUUACCCAGUGAGUUCUACACCAAAUCUCAGGUGUCAGGGCUGUUCAUUCUCACUGCUGUUGUCACUCUCUGUGGCCUGUGCCACGUGUUCCCCUGCUGGUUCUGCUGUAAAAAUGAAGAAGGACAUUGGAGAGAGGAGCUGCAGAGCCGAUUAGAGGAAGGAGCCAGGAAUCACAUUGAAGAAUUGAAGAACGAGGGUGUAGAGCAGAUCAUGGAAGAGAGAGUGAAACCUCUUCUGCAGCCUGCUAAUGCCAAUUUCUGGGAAAACAUAGAUUUAAGAAGCAUAGGAAAAGAAAUAAAGAAAGUGGUAGAGUCUGCUCUUAGAAAUAAGCCAGCAGAGAGACAGCCAGCAGGGCAACAGGGUUUGCCUCUCACCCCUCUGGUUCGGGGACCCCUUUCCUAG